rnacentral:rRNA from 1 species
ACAGUGUCUGUAGGCGCACGACAACUCAAA